GAUGAAGAACGUAGUGAAAUGCGAUACGUAAUGUGAAUUGCAGAAUUCAGUGAAUCAUCGAAUCUUUGAACGCAUAUUGCGCUCUCUGGUAUUCCGGAGAGCAUGCUUGUUUGAGUAUCAGUAAACACCUCAACUCCCUUUUCUUUUUUGAAAUGGGAGCUGGACUUGAGUGAUCCCAACACUUUUCUCACUGGAAAGUGGCGGGUCACUUGAAAUGCAGGUGCAGCUGGACUUUUCUCUGAGCUAUAAGCAUAUCUAUUUAGUCUGCCUAAAAAACAGAUUAUUACCUUUGCUGCAGCUAACAUAAAGGAGAUGAGUUCUUGUGCUGACUGAUGCAGGAUUCACAGAGACAGCUUUGCGGCUGACUUUGUAAACUCGAUCUCAAAUCAAGUAAGACUACCCGCUGAACUUAAGCAUAUCAAAAGCGGAGGA
rnacentral:misc_RNA from 1 species